rnacentral:rRNA from 1 species
AUUGAACGCUGGCGGCAGGCUUAACACAUGCAAGUCGAGCGGAGAUGAGGUGCUUGCACCUUAUCUUAGCGGCGGACGGGUGAGUAAUGCUUAGGAAUCUGCCUAUUAGUGGGGGACAACAUUCCGAAAGGAAUGCUAAUACCGCAUACGCCCUACGGGGGAAAGCAGGGGAUCUUCGGACCUUGCCCUAAUAGAGGAGCCUAAGUCGGAUUAUCUAGUUGGUGGGGUAAAGGCCUACCAAGGCGACGAUCUGUAGCGGGUCUGAGAGGAUGAUCCGCCACACUGGGACUGAGACACGGCCCAGACUCCUACGGGAGGCAGCAGUGGGGAAUAUUGGACAAUGGGCGGAAGCCUGAUCCAGCCAUGCCGCGUGUGUGAAGAAGGCCUUUUGGUUGUAAAGCACUUUAAGCGAGGAGGAGGCUACCUGGAUUAAUACUCUAGGAUAGUGGACGUUACACGCAGAAUAAGCACCGGCUAACUCUGUGCCAGCCGCCGCCGUAA